rnacentral:rRNA from 1 species
GACGAACGCUGGCGGCGUGCUUACACCAUGCAAGCCGAACGGAAAGGCCCUGCUUUUGUGGGGUGCUCGAGUGGCGACCGGGUGAGUAACACGUGAGUAACCUGCCCUUGACUUUGGGAUAACUUCAGGAACCUGGGGCUAAUACCGGAUAGGAGCUCCUGUUGCAUGGUGGGGGUUGGAAAGUUUCGGCGGUUGGGGAUGGACUCGCGGCUUAUCAGCUUGUUGGUGGGGUAGUGGCUUACCAAGGCUUUGACGGGUAGCCGGCCUGAGAGGGUGACCGGCCACAUUGGGACUGAGAUACGGCCCAGACUCCUACGGGAGGCAGCAGUGGGGAAUAUUGCACAAUGGGCGGAAGCCUGAUGCAGCAACGCCGCGUGCGGGAUGACGGCCUUCGGGUUGUAAACCGCUUUCGCCUGUGACGAAGCGUGAGUGACGGUAAUGGGUAAAGAAGCACCGGCUAACUACGUG